rnacentral:misc_RNA from 1 species
GAUGAAGAACGCAGCGAAAUGCGAUAAGUAAUGUGAAUUGCAGAAUUCAGUGAAUCAUCGAAUCUUUGAACGCACCUUGCGCCCUUUGGCCAUUCCGAAGGGCAUGCCUGUUUGAGUAUCAUGAACACCUCAACUCUUCAUGGUUUUCCGUGAUGAGCUUGGACUUUGGGGGUCUUGCUGGCCUAUGGUCAGCUCCUCUAAAAUAAAUCAGCUUGCCAGUGUUUGGUGGGUAUCACAGGUGUGAUAACUAUCUACGCUUGUGGUUUUCCACCAGGUAACCUUCAGCAGUGGAGGUUCGCUGGAGCUCACAGAUGUGUCUCUCCUCAGUGAGGACAGCUCUUUGAAUGUUUGAUCUCAAAUCAGGUAGGACUACCCGCUGAACUUAAGCAUAUCAAUAAGGGAGGA